rnacentral:lncRNA from 1 species
UAAUGUUUCUCCUUUUUGUUUCCAGGUUCACACUCAACAGCCGCAAGGAUUCCUCCAGCUACCCCCACACGGAAAAAAAAAAGUUCGACUGUGGAACCAACGUGGCUUUCUAAAUACAAGGUAGACGAGAGAGCAACCGUAGAUCUCCGUGGGGAGCGCUCUGCCGGCCAGCACAGCAGUCUCGUGUUCGGUGGUCGCGCUAACGCGGGAUUGUCGAAAAGUUAAACUAGCCAUGCAUAUACCGCGCCUGCUUAGUGAAACUACCACGGUGGUCCAGGUAGAUAACAUCAUCCUGUUCAUCAAUUGUGUCACCAACAGAUAUUGGUGGAUCACUAUACUCUACAGUAUAUGAAGCGCCAUCUGCAGAAAAACUACUCCAAAAUUUUUACAAGUUUUUAAAUGCAUCGGUGGCAUCGAUGUCAAACAUCGUUAAACUCCUCAAGCCAUUUCCCGCCAAUUUUGUUGAUUUCAUAAUCCGUUACUCUACUCAUGUCUACUCCUGCAGAAGCUCCAGCUCCUAAGUCCUGUUCUACUGAAUACUUACUUUUAAGUAAUAUACCAUGUCGGCAGAAGACACGGUAGAGAAAUUCCGGAACCUCCUGCAGGAAGUCGCUCAAAAUCCUGCUGUUGUACAGCAUUUAUUACAGAAUCAUGAAACGACUCAUGCGCUCAGUGAAGUUCUUCAAUUUAUCACUGGCUUCGACAAAAUUCCACCUUUUGGGUUCGGAUUUAACACUCCAAAAAUCGUCCUUGGGGAUACUCUGUCACCCGUAGCCAGGGAUUGCUUCAACGUCUUUGAAUUGCCAGAAAAUUUAGAUAUUGAUUGUGCUGAUGAAUUCCAACUGGCUCUUGAAUUUGCUAUUUCUGAUAAAAUAUUCACUCUGAUGUAG